UUUUCACCCGCCGGUGGGUGCCGGGCACACACGCAGCCCUUGAACCACAGCCUGUAAUCAGGGCUCACACAGGGCGGCACCAUCUGCCGGCCCCCCUCUUUGGUGUGGGGCCUGCAUUCGACCCCCUCGGUUUCUGUGUCUUCCAGGCCAGGUCUGUAUCCAGCUCCAGGAGAGGCCCCAUCGAGGCUUGAGGCAGCAUGGACUGACACAGCUCGCAGUCCUUCGGUUUGCAGCUGGGGUGACCUCCUCCUCCCUCAGGGACUUGCCCAAUGUCAAGAGUGAAAGUAUUGCAUCUUGGGAACACCUUCGGUCCCAGAAAAACAGGAUAGCUGGUCACAGUUCUGGCUUACGGGGUCCAGCUGGGUCUCACUCUCCCCUACUUUCCUUCCAGCCCCCUCCCCCAUGGCCUGCUCUGUGGGAUUCAAGGCCCGGCAUCAGACGCAAAUAAACAACCUUCCAGACACUGCUUAAUCAGCCCCACAUUGUGAAGGUUAAAACCCGGAGACCCAGAAGAGCUACCUGACGUCCCCUCUGCCAUCAGUGUGGUUGCUGUAAGACCUCGUGUGACUUAUUGGGACCACCGUGACCACAUCCACAAAUGGGUGAGCCUUGCCCGGGAUCAAGGUGCACACGACCCCCUCGUCCCCAAAGUCCCUAGACAUUUGUUUCAAAACAAACAAGGGGGAGGAGGCAGCUCCAGGGAAGGUCUAGUAGGAGCUGACGUAUGGUCCGGUCUAAGAGACUGGCCCCCACCAUAUGGAGUGUCUGUGCUUGCAUUUCCAGCCACUGUCCUUUGGGCAAGGACGACUGUGGCUUCGUGUCUACACCCCGUGUACCUGUGAAGGCACUUCGGAAAGGCUGUAAUACUACUCGGGACAAAUGGAGGCUGUCAGCGCCGCAAGGAAAGGAGUGUGGCCAGCACCUGCCUUAUAACUCGGGAGAAGGGGGGAUGAGAAUCCCCGCGGUUUGUAGGCUCGCAGGAUGUGGGGCCGCGCACCACCUCUCUUCUCCCGCCUGGAAUAAUCCACAGGCGCUAAAAGCGAGAUACACGCAUGCACUUGGAGAGCUGGUGCAUUUUUGUCCCGCUGAUUUGCGCUUUCUCAUUUUUUACCAUAUACACCAAACAAAUACUACAGACAUUUUAAAAUGAAAAUGUACGAUUUUCAAGGAAGCUCUUCUCUCUGGGGGAAGGGAUGGCUGUUCUGAAGGCGGGGAUCAGCCGAGCGUAGCCCGGCGGUCUGAAAUGAAUGCAAAGGUAGGCAGAGAACACACCUGCGGCGUCACGCGGGGACUGUGACUGCCCCCACGGCCAGGUGUUUGAUUUCAACUUUGGCGAACAGAAAACAGGCUUGGUUGGAGACAGGGAGACUGGGCUGCGGGAUCUGGAAAUGGGAAAAGUAACAGCGCUAUUAGACCCCGUUGCCGUAGCAACAGCACAGCAAAGCUAUUUUGUGGUUAACUCGUGAGAGACAAGUCGGCACAAGGAUUAAUGUCAAGUUAUGGCGCAAUUUGGGCCGUGGGUAUUUAACCUCCGUCCCCCACAGUCCUCUGAGCACACCCAGCGUGUUCCCAGCGAGCUCCGAAUAUGCCCUCUCUCUCCUGGUCCAGAAACUGUACGUGAGCUAGCGAGGGUGCAGUAUUCGGGAAUGGUCCCUCGAACCGUGCUUGCAAACCCCACUGAGGACCCCCCUGGGGACUUGGCUAAGCUGCAGAGGCUGACUCAAAGGCAGGUGUGUGGUGAGGCCCAAGAUGCUGCAUUUCGAACAAGCUCCAGAUGAUGUCCGUGCUGCCGGUCCAGGCACCACACUUUGAGUAGCAAAGCCCUAGCCUAGACUUCACGCUGGAAGAAACCAGAACAUACAUUUUUGUUCCCUGCUGUCCCUCCCGGGCCCAGCAGGAGGAGGCUCAGGACACGCUUUGUGAAUAAACAAACAAAAGGAUGAACAGAUGACA